CCUACGGGGCGCAGCAGUGGGGAAUAUUGGGCAAUGGGCGCAAGCCCGACCCAGCAACGCCGCGUGAAGGAAGAAGGCUUUCGGGUUGUAAACUUCUUUUAUGAGGGACGAAACAAAUGACGGUACCUCAUGAAUAAGCCACGGCUAACUACGUGCCAGCAGCCGCGGUAAUACGUAGGUGGCAAGCGUUAUCCGGAUUUACUGGGUGUAAAGGGCGUGUAGGCGGGACUGCAAGUCAGAUGUGAAAAUUAUGGGCUCAACCCAUAACCUGCAUUUGAAACUGUAGAUCUUGAGUGAUGGAGAGG
rnacentral:rRNA from 1 species